rnacentral:misc_RNA from 1 species
AACGCACAUUGCGCCCGCCAGUAUUCUGGCGGGCAUGCCUGUCCGAGCGUCACUACACCACUCAGAACCCCCUCUGCGGGGUGCUGGCGUUGGGGAUCGGUCGCCCACCGUGGCGCCCGUCCCCCAAAUCGAGUGGCAGUCCGGUGUUGUCUUCCCCUGCGCAGUAGCGAUGCGACGCAGUGGGUUUCACCCGGCGCUCGCCGUAAAAACCCCAACUCUUCUGAAGUUGACCUCGGAUCAGGUAGGACUACCCGCUGAACUUAA